GUGGGGUUUGAUGAGAAGUGUUUGUUUUGGAACGAGAGAGAUUUUGGCGUGGAACGCGGGCACUUAAGGUGUUGUUUUAGAGGUCUGGAUUGUGUGGCUUUGUCAGCAUAGCAGGAGUUUCACGGUGAUGCUUAAGGACCGUAGCCACAGUCGUCUUCACCAGUGUGUGCCUGUCUACUGGAGGAGUGGUGUAGUGUAUGGCCAUCCUGAGCCCUAUCAGUCUGUGGUGACAAGAGGGAGACGCCUGUCAUCACUCAGCAGGGGAAAAGAAGCGUUCGUGUGAACAAGGGUUAUCCGUGGUGUCUCAACUGGAAAUUUUGAGGUGUAUAAGUUUCAUUUUGUUAUUUCUUCUUUUUUUUGGGUUGUGAGUUUACACGAGUUGUGUAUUUAUUUAUUUUGAUAUCCAUUAAAGUGUUAUUUGUA